rnacentral:rRNA from 1 species
UACGAAGGGUGCGAGCGUUACUCGGAAUCACUGGGCGUAAAGCGUGCGUAGGCGGUUGAUUAAGUCUGCUGUGAAAGCCCUGGGCUCAACCUGGGAACUGCAGUGGAUACUGGUCAGCUAGAGUGUGAUAGAGGAUGGUGGAAUUCCCGGUGUAGCGGUGAAAUGCGUAGAGAUCGGGAGGAACACCAGUGGCGAAGGCGGACAUCUGGAUCAACACUGACGCUGAGGCACGAAAGCGUGGGGAGCAAACAGG